CAAUAGCGUAUAUUAAAGUUGUUGCGGUUAAAAAGCUCGUAGUUGGAGUUCUGCCAGGUGCCGCCUGUCCGCCCCAGUGGUGAGUACGUGGCGCGCAUUUGGCCCUUUCAAGGGGAGCGUAUCUGCGCUUUAUUGCGUGGUGCGGUAUCUAUGACUUUUACUUUGAGGAAAUUAGAGUGUUCACGGCAGGCAAACGCCUUGAAUAUAUUAGCAUGGAAUAAUAACAUAGGAUCUUCGUCCUAUUUUGUUGGUUUCUAGGGCUAAGAUAAUGAUUAAUAGGGAUAAUUGGGGGCAUCUGUAUCAACGCGUCAGAGGUGGAAUUCUUGGAUUGCGUUGCGACAAACUACUGCGAAAGCAUUUGCCAAGGAUGUUUUCAUUGA
rnacentral:rRNA from 1 species